UUUAAGGAACAAUUAUUAAAGGAAAUGCAGAGAAAAACACUUGAUUUACCUAAAGAGUUGACAAAGGAUGGAGCUGUUAUUUAAAGCUAAGCUUUUUAAUGUUCAUAUUGCGGAAGCAGUCAAACUUUUGGGGCUCAUGGAUAUGUUUGAAAUUCUGAGGAAGUAUUGGGGUACCAGUGGCUGUUAUAGCAGUGUGGCUAUCCACAAAAUUGAUUUUCUCCUAAAAACUGAUAUUCCUCCCACUAAAAUCAAUUGAGUUCCACUCUGUUCCUUUGGAAAGAAAUUGAUUUUCUUUAUUAAAAAGUAAUGUAUUUUCCCUUUAACAUUAAUUGAUAUUGCCUUUAAAGUGAAUUUUUCCCACUUUAAAAUAAAUUCAUUUCUCCCUUUGAAAUAAAUGGAUUCUGUCCCUGCAAAAGUAUUUGAUUCCCACUCUUUUAACUGCAUAAUAGUGGAGAGAUUGAAAAUAGGCAGGCUUGGUGACAGUAGAGAAGAGAGAAUGGGUGGGAGAGUCUGAAGAAAGAAACCACAUAUACUUGACUAAAGCCAUUUUUCUUCCUCCUUUUCCUUCUUCUCCAUGCUGGCCCUCCUUAUCCUACUCUGGGAUGAUGACAAGCAAAACUGGCACUGUCAUAGCCACCAGAGCUAUCUUGAAAGCUUCUUCAGUAUGAGGCUAAUGAAUCUUCUUCAGGAGCACACCAAGGAGAAUGGGAGCCAGCAAUGUAAUCAUACUCUCCACCAUUAUUACCACUACCACCAUGUUCUCUGUGUCCUUGAAAGAUGGAGCCAUGUCCACCAAAACACUAUAUUGGUAGUGGCAUUCAAGUUUCCAGAAACAGGAGGUCCAUGAUGAUUGAGGGGGCGGUAGGCAAUCUCUUCCCAGCCCCAAUCUUGCAGAUGUUGUGAAUAUUGAGGAUGUUAUUCCCCGAUGCCCUUCCUGAAAGCAAUUUUUGCAUUAGUUCACAAGAAGUGACUACAGGUAUAGGAUGGAGAAAGAAAAAGAAAAAUCCUUUUCUUGUUGGAGCUGCCAUGCAUGUGGGAGAGGAACCACAUUCAAGUUAAAGGAUAUCCUGUAGCCUGCUCGCCUGUCAAGGAGUUGUGGAAAUGUGCUGGCAUUCCAGCUGAAGACAUCAUUAUGAGUGAGAAAAUGCUCAAGGCCUUUUUUCAAAGUGGGCGGUGAAAGAGAUGCUUUCCUUCUUUGACUCCAGGGGAUGCUAAGAGCUGCCCUAGCAGACAGAGUGGAUUGUAUGGCACAGCUGAUGUGCAGGCAAAACUUGAAGUGAGCAUGUUUGAAACAAAGUCUCCCGAAGCAGUGGGGUCUGUGGUCUGCAGCUCCUCCUCCGAAGAACCUUACAAGAACUGGAUUGAUAGGGUUUGUCCUCUGCCACUGAUAACCAAGAUUUGAUCCAUAAAAGUUGGCAGCUUUGUGAGCAAUGGGAAAGGAGCAGUUUUACUUUAACUCUAGCCAUUGAAUCUGAAGAGUAAUUGCCACCCUGGAAAGGUAAUUACAUAUGCUAUUGUUUAUACACAUAAUAGGUCUGGAAUGCAUGUUCUGCAGAUAGAAAAAAGAAAAAGAAAAUCCUGCUUUCAGAUUGGGGCGGUACACAAUGUAUAGUGACAGAAUGCCACAAAUAGCAUUCAUACCCUUGCAUGUUAAUGGGUGAUUUCUCUUGGUGUGUGUGUUUAAGCAGGGGGGAGAAGGGAUUUGGAGCACGAAAGGGGAGGGAAGGCGAAGAAGGCUUUUUUAUAAAGUACCAUGUAAAUACAAGUGAUUUUCCCCUCUCUCGCUCUUCCUAGUUCCCUUUCUCCUGCUGUCUCUUUCUUUUAAAAAGAAUCAAGAGAAAUGUUUUUGAAGCUUCAAAGGGAUUGCACUGUUCUCUUACCCCACGGGAAUAUUAAUUACUCCCAAACUUUUAAAAUUUCUUGAACAAUACCAUAUGUGUUUGUAAAAGAAAUUACAUAGAAGGCUGUACUAAAGGGGUCUUGACUUGAAUUGCCCUGAAAUUGGACCAAACAGUUUGACAGAAUAUUGGAUAGCAGUUUGAAGCAUCCUGCUGUGUCUGGAGUGGGACACCACACGUGCACGCGCACACACACACACACUGGAUGUUGAUUACCAGAGUGUCUCUUGCAUCUAUUUUAUUUGGUUAUUUAAAUGCAUAUAUUGGAAAUAACAUAUAGAUUUGAUUGCCAUGAUACGUCCUUUCUGAACUGUAAACAUGCCUUUCUCAAGAACAAAAUUUUAUAUACAUUGCAGAGAAUGCUUCAGAGUAUUGUAGGAACAAGAAUGGCACAAAGCCAAAAAUUCUUUUGUAUUUUAAUAUUGAACCAAGCAUUGUUAGGGGUUGAAGCAAAUCAUCACGGGUUAUGCUCUGUCGUGGUGUCCAGCAAAUUGCAUGACCAGCUUGUUAGGCUUGACAAGAGCCCUUUCCCUAACAAAAGCCUCAGCAACUCCUAGCAGCCAUGGAAUGUCAGAAUGAACACAUUUCACACACAGAUGUGUGACCAUAAUGGCUGUAAGAAGAUGCAUGUGGUGGAGAAAAGGGGGAGUGGGUUGGGGAGACUAACAGUUAGCAGUGGGGACCCAGCCCUGUUGACCAUUUUUAAUCAGUGCUUCUGUAAACAAUUCAACAUUUUCAUUGUUCUCC